rnacentral:rRNA from 1 species
AUUGAACGCUGGCGGAAUGCUUUACACAUGCAAGUCGAACGAUGAACCUUGGCUUGCUAAGGGGAUUAGUGGCGAACGGGUGAGUAAUAUAUCGGAACGUGCCUUGUAAUGGGGGAUAACUAGUCGAAAGAUUAGCUAAUACCGCAUACGCCCUGAAGGGGAAAGUAGGGGAUCUUCGGAGCUUACGUUAUAAGAGCGGCCGAUAUCUGGUUAGCUAGUUGGUGGGGUAAUGGCCUACCAAGGCUUCGAUCAGUAGCUGGUCUGAGAGGACGACCAGCCACACUGGAACUGAGACACGGUCCAGACUCCUACGGGAGGCAGCAGUGGGGAACUUUGGACAAUGGGCGAAAGCCUGAUCCAGCCAUUCCGCGUGAGUGAAGAAGGCCUUCGGGUUGUAAAGCUCUUUCGCAAGGGAAGAAAACUUACAUUCUAAUAAAGUGUGAGGCUGACGGUACCUUGAUAAGAAGCACCGGCUAACUACGUGCCAGCCGCCGCGGUAA